rnacentral:rRNA from 1 species
GGCGGACGGGUGAGUAAUGCUUGGGAAUUUGCCUAGUAGUGGGGGACAACACGGGGAAACUCGUGCUAAUACCGCAUACGCCCUACGGGGGAAAGCGGGGGAUCUUCGGACCUCGCGCUAUUAGAUGAGCCCAAGUCGGAUUAGCUUGUUGGUGAGGUAAAGGCUCACCAAGGCAACGAUCCGUAGCUGGUCUGAGAGGACGAUCAGCCACACUGGGACUGAGACACGGCCCAG